rnacentral:rRNA from 1 species
UACGGGGGAUGCAAGCGUUAUCCGGAAUCAUUGGGCGUAAAGCGCCUGUAGGUUGUUUAGUAAGUCUGUUGUUAAAGACCAGGGCUUAACCCUGGGAAAGCAAUGGAAACUACUAGACUUGAGUAUGGCAGGGGUAGAGGGAAUUUCUAGUGUAGCGGUGAAAUGCGUAGAUAUUAGAAAGAACACCGGCGGCGAAAGCGCUCUACUGGAUCAUUACUGACACUCAGAGGCGAAAGCUAGGGUAGCAAAAGGGAUUAGAUACCCCUGUAGUCCUAGCCGUAAACGAUGGAUACUAGAUGUUGCGUUUAUUAUGCAGUAUCGUAGCUAACGCGUUAAGUAUCCCGCCUGGGGAGUACGCUCGCAAGGGUG